GCGCACAAGAAAACCGUAGUAGGCCACUUCAAUUAAGAGUCCAACUUAUAACAUUGUAAUUACCAAGUCAACAAUCUGACCAACUUAACUGAGAUUGAAGAGAAUGGAAACAACAAGCAUAGCAUCACAUGUUCUUAUGAUCUACCACUUUGAAGGUAACUUUAAUUUGAUGACUCCAACAUGCAUCAUAUCAACUGAAGCAAUCACCCAUACACCCCUCUUAGCUCCCCUGCCACUUACUCUCCCAAAACAAAUCAUAAGCUCUGUCAAUUUUGUUGUGAUUUAAGGUUAGAAAUUUACAUCUUUGUUUUGGUUUUGCAUUGCACCUUAUUUUUCCU